rnacentral:ncRNA from 1 species
UUGGUUAGAACUGGUCUCAGGUUGUCACCGCAACGGGGCAACACUUCCGCUCGCGACGCCGGCAGCGAGCGCAAACCGGCAGAACGAUUCUGCCCGACCUUCUAGAGGUCGACGGGACAUUACAGUCAAC